CUAAUUACCAUCAGCUGAUGGACAGAGAGUUCAACAUUGCUGGAUUGGCUAGGCAACAGUCACAAUCAACAGAACAAUGAUAUUCUUCUUGGAUCUUCAAGUGUCCCUGUGCAACAAUAUGUUUCCUGUUGACAUAUGCAUUCAUCUUGUUUCAUUGGUCAUAACAUAAAACUCACAAGGGCUAAAGAGUGAAGAUGAGCUCAACUAACAGUUGACAAGGAGGCACAAGGGAUCAUGAGUCAUAUCUGAGGAAUGAACAUGACUGGCAUUUUUGAGUCAAAGGGUUACUCCUCUGACCUACUUCCAACAGGAUCAACAGCUGCAGGCUGGCUAUGGAAUGCGCAGAUAAAACACCGCUAGACAGUUAUAUGCAGGAGUCAUCACUAAGAUUAAAAUUCUUGUUCAAAGCAGAUCUACGCAAAAUUGACUCCCUUUGCCUUCAUCCUUCAGACAGCUAAGAUGCAACGCACACCUUUCAUACCAAACUGGCUGUGGCGGUACAAGAGGCAAAGCUGUAAUCACAUAGACACUUCCAAGAAGACAUGGCUGGUGCUCUGCAAACAUGCCCUUAGAAAAGUACAAAUGGGGAUGCCAAUUCUGAAUGAUUUAAAAUUGUAGAAACAAACACCAUGUGACCCACAGUAUACAUCUAGGUUCCCCAGCUACUGAAGUGUUUUUACAACCUACUUUCCAAUGUUGCUGCUUUCCCUGUAUGCCUCUGCACGGUAGACAUAGCUGAAGGGCAAAUACGCUAUGUUUUUCAAAAGGCUUAUUUUAUAAUUAAAGACUCAAGUGCUUCGUGUGGAACAUGAAUAAUGUAUCUUAUAAAUCUUCUUUGAUAUAUGUAUACACAA